rnacentral:lncRNA from 1 species
GGCCGUCCUGGGCACACGGCCGGGGCCGGCCGGGCAGAAGAACCCGAUUCCUGCCCGCCCCAGCCCCAGGCCUCACCUGGCGGUGUUCGAGCCCCGCCCGACGCCCCGACCGUCUGCUCUCCAAUAUGCUCUCCUUCCCGGCUAAUCCAGCUGGAGACUUUCAACCUCGUUGUCAUUUACAAGGCAGCUGGAGCACAGGAUAUUUUUAAUAAAAAUUAGGUACAAGCAGAUACAGGGGAUUAAUAGUUGUAUUAUGAUUUUAUAGUUCUCCAUAUACAGCGGCAUGGAAAAGACAAUCAGAGAGCAGAGCCAUUUCAGGCAGAUAAAAUGGGGCAUUUAUUUUUAAUGGAAAGAGAAUUUCAGGACUCACCCAGCCGUGGAGAGAGCUGCUGAUGGCCCUCACCGGGUGAAACAAAGAGGAGGCUGGGGGUGUGGCGGCCUCUCCGGAGACGCCCCCUCCGGGUAGGGGGAGAGCCCCCCGCUUUGCGCAGCACAGGAGGGAGUCGCCAGGUGGGUCUCUUCAGCCCCAAAUCAGAGGGAUCAGAGGGAAUGGAGCCCUGCAGGCCAAGCCUCUCUCGGCCUCAGUGUCCCCAUCGGCCCAGCAAGGACCAGGUGAGCUCUUCGGAAAAGUGGGUGCCCCUCAGAGCCCAAGGGAGGUUGACAUCGAAGCUGCCACCCACAAUCACCUCUGCUCUUUGCUGGGGGAGCCAGCACAUAUUGGGCACCUACUGUUCUCCCCAGACUCACAGCCGGGCCUUAAAUUCACCCCACCCUGCUGGCCGCCUGGGCCUGCCUCAGCCAGGGGUCUGGCCCCAGCUCAGGCCUGGGGACAGCUUUCCCCCGAGCUCCCCCAGCAGAAGCCACAUCUCUCCAGGAACCACCAGGCGGCUUCAAAGCUCAGAGCUCGGGUUGGAAGGGAUCCAGCAGGAGCCCACAGCAGCCAGGAGGCCCCACGGCAGCACAGGAGGCAGCAGCUGGCCCGGUGGGGGGCAGCAAGGGGGGAGGAGCUUUGCAGACCCAGGGCUAGAAGGGGGGACAAGAGUGCCUGUCACCACCUUCCCACCUCGUCCGUCCCGAAGCCCGAGGGGAGCAGCCCUUACAGGAAGAGAUUGUCUGGAUGGGGACUGGCCUUCCCCGGCCACAAGGCUGCUGACCACUGGCCACCUCUACCCAACUCCUGGCCUUCCACAGAGCUCCACCGCCCACCCAGGGCCUCCCUUCAAGCCCACGAGUCGACCGACUGACCUCAGAGCCCGCAAGGACUUGCCCGCGGCAGCCGAGCACCCCGGGGCCCCCCAGGCAGCCGUCCCCGCACCGCC